rnacentral:rRNA from 1 species
GACGAACGCNGGCGGCGUGCUUAACACAUGCAAGUCGAACGAAGAGUGAUGGAAGCUUGCUUCUAUCAAUCUUAGUGGCGAACGGGUGAGUAACGCGUAAUCAACCUGCCCUUCAGAGGGGGACAACAGUUGGAAACGACUGCUAAUACCGCAUACGAUCUAACCUCGGCAUCGAGGAUAGAUGAAAGGUGGCCUCUACAUGUAAGCUAUCACUGAAGGAGGGGAUUGCGUCUGAUUAGCUAGUUGGAGGGGUAACGGCCCACCAAGGCGAUGAUCAGUAGCCGGUCUGAGAGGAUGAACGGCCACAUUGGGACUGAGACACGGCCCAGACUCCUACGGGAGGCAGCAGUGGGGAAUCUUCCGCAAUGGACGAAAGUCUGACGGAGCAACGCCGCGUGAGUGAUGACGGCCUUCGGGUUGUAAAG